UACGUAGGGGGCAAGCGUUGUCCGGAAUCAUUGGGCGUAAAGAGCGUGUAGGCGGUCCGGUCAGUCGGUUGUGAAAGUCAAGGGCUCAACCCUUGAAUGCCGGCCGAUACUGCCGGGCUAGAGUCCGGAAGAGGUGAGUGGAAUUCCUGGUGUAGCGGUGAAAUGCGCAGAUAUCAGGAAGAACACCCGUGGCUAAGGCGGCUCUCUAGUACGGUACUGACGCUGAGACGCGAAAGCGUGGGGAGCGAACAGG
rnacentral:rRNA from 1 species